rnacentral:lncRNA from 1 species
CCCUGGGCCUGCCACUGGCCCAGUAUGAAAAGAAACAUGGAUUCAAAAGCGUCUGCCAGUGCGGAGUAGUUAGUAGCUCGUGGAGACUCAGAGCUCAGAAAAUAAACCCAACCUGACGGACUGGGCCGAAUUUUAACUGCGGAAUCCCAGGCAAACCUCACAGCCUCCUCGGGCCUCAGAAGUAAAGAGACGGACCUCCCAGGCAGGAGGACUGAGGGCUAAUGUAAGGACACUCCACUGGGGCCCCUGCUGUGCGGGGGACAAGUUACAACUUACAACAUUAUUAAAUACUGUGGUCUUGGCUACGUUGGUGGUGUCUAGCUGAAGAGGCCCCGAGAACAGGUCAGAUCCAUUUCCGUAGGUUUUAUAGUGAACUACCUUCCAGGGUUGGCACAGGGUGACGUAAUGCAGCCAGGGGUCAGAAUUUAAGGAGACACUCACACUCAGGGCCUGUUCCUGUACUGGCACAAACCUGAGAAUCAGCGCCUCCUUAAAUCCGGCAGCCUGGACAAUGGCCUGCCUGGCCCCAUCUGGACCUGUGCCUUCCAGAGCUCAAACUCUCCUGCCAUGACUCUCCUCAAAU